rnacentral:lncRNA from 10 species
CGCCGCUCCGCCGGGACGCGUUGGCCGGGGCGCGCGGUGCUUGGCUGCGGUGCUCACACUCAUGAGGAGCCGGAAGUCACAGGUGGGAUGAGAGCAGAAAGGGAAGCACUGCUAUCCUGCCUCUCCUGGGAAGACACCCCGCUGCCUGGGAGCUGGGGAGGUGGCCCUGUGUUCUUGGCUGCAGCAGGAUGGAGCUCAAGUGCCACAGACUCUCCGUGUCCUUACCAAAUGUAUGUAGGUGUUCUGGAGCAAGUGUUUCUUCAUUUGCUGGGUGCCCAUAGGACCAUUUCCAAAGGCUCUCUAAAUGGCUGUUUUGGGACUGCUCAUUACUCUCUGAGAAGGUCAGUGAAGCUCCUCGAGCCAUCAUGUUGAAGUCAGUCUCGGCCAGCCCUUUUGGAGAAACCAUGUUUGUGCUUCUGACAUACCAGUUAUUAAACAAUCUACUGGAAUGAGGAGAAUCUCAAUGAUGAGAAAGUCUUUCCUUUUUUGGACUGUGGGAGCAGUCCAAGCUGCCCAGCUGCAGAGCAGGAAUCUGCAAGUGAGACUGUGACCAAUUCUUGACAUUUUGGAGUUGACACCUUGGAGGUGGUUAAUCCAUGACGAAACUGAAGCUAAGCCGAUCUCAUGUUUUGACUCCUGUCAAUCCGGAGAGGACAGCAAAUGGCCUGCUCAGGUGUCUGUUAACAGCCAGCGCUUCCAGGCCCACCAGAUCCUCAGGUGUCUGUUAACAGCCAGCGCUUCCAGCCCAGCAGAUCAUCUGGCUUUUCUCUGCAGAAGGGGCCAAAAGGUCCACCUGAUGAACCUGUUGCACGCGAAAAGUUCAGAACCACUGCUGCCAAGAUGCUGACAGAAGCCUUGAGAAGCACCUGCUGCGGGAAAAGACGUGCAGGCGUAGAACACAGAGCGGGUGGCAGCUUCUUCAGUUCAAUCCCCACCUCAGGCAGUUGUUGGGGGUCAUAUCUAGGCUCACAGGUGCAGUGCGGUCUUCAGCGCGCUUGAAAGCACGAAGUUGUUCGGCAGCCAGGUUGGCCUCUGCCCAGGAAGUUGCUGGUUCCACGUCUGCCAAGACAGCAUGUCUGACUUCCUCAUCCCACAAAGCCACAGACACGCGAACGUCCAAGAAGUUCAAAUGUGACAAAGGACAUCUUGUGAAGUCAGAAUUACAGAAGCUUGUCCCUAAGAAUGACAGCGCUUCUUUGCCAAAAGUGACACCUGAGACCCCUUGUGAAAAUGAGUUUGCUGAAGGCAGUGCCUUGCUUCCAGGCAGCGAGGCUGGCGUUUCUGUGCAGCAGGGGGCUGCAAGUCUUCCUCUCGGUGGCUGCAGAGUUGUGAGUGACUCUCGCUUAGCAAAGACUAGAGAUGGCCUGUCCGUGCCAAAACACAGUGCCGGGUCCGGAGCAGAAGAAUCCAACAGCAGCUCCACUGUGCAGAAGCAGAAUGAGCCAGGGCUACAGACAGAGGAUGUGCAGAAGCCACCACUUCAGAUGGACAACAGCGUCUUUCUAGAUGACGACAGCAAUCAGCCAAUGCCCGUGAGCCGGUUCUUUGGAAACGUUGAGCUCAUGCAGGACCUCCCACCUGCGUCUUCAUCUUGUCCUUCAAUGAGCAGACGAGAGUUCAGAAAAAUGCAUUUCAGAGCCAAAGAUGAUGAUGAUGACGACGACGAUGAUGCAGAAAUGUAGGGGCCAUACAAAAUAAUGUCCUUGAGUAUUUAGUACCAUUAACAAUUUGACAAUUUAGCACAUUACAAGAUUUAUAUAAAAUGUAUCUCCAAGAGAAUGUCUUAAUCAAACUUCAGAACUGACCCAUCUAAGUCAAUAGUGCAAAGCACCCAAUACCUGUGGAGGAUGUACUCAUGGGAACUAAAACUCAAACCAUCUUUGAGGUUGCAAAGCUGCUGUACUGUGCCAAUGUCCUUUCUUUUUUUUUUUUUUUUUUUUUCCUUGGAGACAGAGUUUCUCUCUUGUCGCCCAGGCUGGAGUGCAAUGGCGCAAUCUCGGCUCACUGCAACCUCCACCUCCUGGGUUCAAGUGAUUCUCCUGCCUCAGCCUCCUGAGUAGCUGGGAUUACAGGCAUACACCACCACACCCAGCUAGUUUUUGUAUUAUUAGUAGACACGGGGGUUUCUCCACGUUGGCCAGGCUGGUCUCAAACUCCUGACCUCGUGAUACGCCCGCCUCAGCCUCCCAAAGUGCUGGGAUUACAGGCGCGAGCCACCAUGCCCGGCCAGUGUCCUUUCUUAUACACGUACAUACAUGAUGAUGGCUUGAGUCAGCUGCAGGGCAGUGGGCUUAAUGAGAGGGAUCUUUGUAAAGACAGCUCUUCACUUCAGCUCAGUAGCUUUGGUCAUAGGCAAGUUUGUUUUCCAUUAUCAUAAUUUGAUGAUUCUUGUGAUGAAUUCAAUGCUAGUUCUUAAAGAACUCUUUUAUUUCUGUAUGUGGAGCUAAUGUUUACCUUGGAAAUUUUGCAAAAUACAUGUAAGAAAGAAAUAAAAUAUAUUUUGAAAAUAUUUUGAAA